AACAUGAUUUUUUUCCUUCCCUUGGCAUUCAGCCCCACUGGAAUGGCUGGCUCCUGCUCUGAUGUGAAGUCCUAGAAUGGGCAAUGAGGGUCACCUCCCAUCCACUGAGGGCUGCUGCUGGAGCACAAAGCCAGACCAGCAGGGACAGGUGCUAAUGAAAGAAUGCAAAUAGCGUUGGUUGAUCAGAACACUUCAUAAAGAAGGGAACAAUCACCAAGCCAAACCAGCACAGAAUCCGCCGCCGUCAGACAGCAAAGGUAGGCACUGGGAUUUUGCAUUCUGCAUGUGUCUGCGUCUGCGUGUGUGGUGGUGGUG
rnacentral:lncRNA from 1 species